rnacentral:snRNA from 1 species
AUACCUAAUGGCAGGGCAGACACUAUGAUUAAAAGUUGGGUUUUUUUUUCCAGCGCAAUGGAUAUCCAUUGCCCUCCAGAUGUGAUGACUCUGUAAUUUUCCCAAAUGUGGGAAACAUGACAGCAUAAAUUGUGGUAGCGGGAGACUGUGAUCACAUUCUCCCC